rnacentral:misc_RNA from 1 species
GGUUACAUUGAACACGUGGCUGGCAAGCGCACCCUGAUCGAACAGCAUCACCUUGGGCGCAAAGGUCGUCGGCUGACUGAUGCGCUCCAGCGCCUCGAGCUCGGACAAUUCGAGAGCGCCACAAACGCUUACCAGGCGAACGCUGCAUUCGGCGCAUCCGGCACUGCUGCGAUUGUGCUUGCAUGGCUCGCCCGCCGCCGUGCACUGUUCAAACCUGUCCAUCGAUGCCGUCCGUGUUGACCUGUCUCUCUAUAUAUACGCAAUCCUCCAGCAUUUUUGAUCUA